UUGAAAGCGAUUCAUUUUUUCCGAAGAAAAAACGCCCCACAAACGAUUGAGCGGAAGUUUAACCAGAGUAAAUUUAAAAAAAUUUGUUAGUGAAAUUGGCUGUGGAUUCCGCGCUCCGCGAUGGCAGCUGGUUUCGGAACGAAGGGGGUCCAGAGCUGAACGAUUUCCCGCUGGCGUUCUGAUGAUCUGGCACGUGUCCUGUCCCGUGUACCUUGAGUGCAGCUUCGUAAUUGUGCGUGCAUAGGUUGUGAUCGGCUCAAACCGGUACACAGUGCUGGAGGUGGCCGGAGGUCUAGAAUCCAGAAGCAAAGAGCAACGAAGAGGGCCAGAAGGAUGGUUAGGGUACGGUGCCGGCUGCAAUUGACCCGGAUAUGGGAAUGCUCAGCAAGGACAGCAGAGUUUGAGCCGACAUCGUUCGCACACCGAAACAUCUCGACCGAGGUCGGAUUCUUCCCGGAAGCCCCAUCGCCGGAAGUCACCUUAUGGCCAGCCAUAUACACGAAUGAAUCUUCGUCACGAUCUUCAAUGAAAGACCGCAGGAGUAGUUCCGGGGUUCCCGCGGCUGACUGCAGCUAUGACGUCAAGGACCGCACAGGAUAAGGACAAGUUCUUUUCACGGCCACGAGCAGCUCCGCUACAUGAACAAAAAGUGUGAUUCAGCAAAUAAAUACCACAAUAAAUGUAAAGAAGUGUUUAAAAAACAAUUAAUUUAAUUAUUAUCCGAAAAAGCUUCAAAAACGUUUCAACAUGACGAGUAGUUUAUAAUAAUAAAUUGCAUAGCUAUUAAAAAUCAUGCGUGCUAAACAUACAUGCUAUAUGCGGCUGCAUAUUGACGAAUCAUUUAGUUUGUAAGCAUUGCAUAUACCGUUCAGGUGCCGUGCACAUAUAUUUUAUAUGCGUGAGCAUAUUGCAAAGAUCAGAUUUGAACAACUUUUUACAGUGCUUUAAUCAAUUUUUUUAGAGUUUUUUUAAAGGU